rnacentral:rRNA from 1 species
AUUGGACGCUGGCGGCAGGCCUAACACAUGCAAGUCGAACGGUAACAGGAAACAGCUUGCUGUUUCGCUGACGAGUGGCGGACGGGUGAGUAAUGUCUGGGAAACUGCCUGAUGGAGGGGGAUAACUACUGGAAACGGCAGCUAAUACCGCAUAACGUCGCAAGACCAAAGAGGGGGACCUUCGGGCCUCUUGCCAUCGGAUGGGCCCAGAUGGGAUUAGCUAGUAGGUGGGGUAACGGCUCACCUAGGCGACGUUCCCUAGCUGGUCUGCGAGGAUGACCAGCAACACUGGAACUGAGACACGGUCCAGACUCCUACGGGAGGCAGCAGUGGGGAAUAUUGCACAAUGGGCGCAAGCCUGAUGCAGCCAUGCCGCGUGUAUGAAGAAGGCCUUCGGGUUGUAAAGUACUUUCAGCGGGGAGGAAGGGAGUAAAGUUAAUACCUUUGCUCAUUGACGUUACCCGCAGAAGAAGCACCGGCUAACUCCGUGCCAGCCGCCGCCGUAA